rnacentral:rRNA from 1 species
AGAACGUAGCGAAAUGCGAUACUUGGUGUGAAUUGCACAAUCCCGUGAACCAUCGAGUCUUUGAACGCAAGUUGCGCCCGAGGCCAUCCGGCC